rnacentral:rRNA from 1 species
GGUUAAGCGACUAAGCGUACACGGUGGAUGCCCUGGCAGUCAGAGGCGAUGAAGGACGUGCUAAUCUGCGAUAAGCGUCGGUAAGGUGAUAUGAACCGUUAUAACCGGCGAUUUCCGAAUGGGGAAACCCAGUGUGUUUCGACACACUAUCAUUAACUGAAUCCAUAGGUUAAUGAGGCGAACCGGGGGAACUGAAACAUCUAAGUACCCCGAGGAAAAGAAAUCAACCGAGAUUCCCCCAGUAGCGGCGAGCGAACGGGGAGGAGCCCAGAGCCUGAAUCAGUGUGUGUGUUAGUGGAAGCGUCUGGAAAGGCGCGCGAUACAGGGUGACAGCCCCGUACACAAAAAUGCACAUACUGUGAGCUCGAUGAGUAGGGCGGGACACGUGGUAUCCUGUCUGAAUAUGGGGGGACCAUCCUCCAAGGCUAAAUACUCCUGACUGACCGAUAGUGAACCAGUACCGUGAGGGAAAGGCGAAAAGAACCCCGGCGAGGGGAGUGAAAAAGAACCUGAAACCGUGUACGUACAAGCAGUGGGAGCCUCUUUUAUGGGGUGACUGCGUACCUUUUGUAUAAUGGGUCAGCGACUUAUAUUCUGUAGCAAGGUUAACCGAAUAGGGGAGCCGAAGGGAAACCGAGUCUUAACUGGGCGUUAAGUUGCAGGGUAUAGACCCGAAACCCGGUGAUCUAGCCAUGGGCAGGUUGAAGGUUGGGUAACACUAACUGGAGGACCGAACCGACUAAUGUUGAAAAAUUAGCGGAUGACUUGUGGCUGGGGGUGAAAGGCCAAUCAAACCGGGAGAUAGCUGGUUCUCCCCGAAAGCUAUUUAGGUAGCGCCUCGUGAAUUCAUCUCCGGGGGUAGAGCACUGUUUCGGCAAGGGGGUCAUCCCGACUUACCAACCCGAUGCAAACUGCGAAUACCGGAGAAUGUUAUCACGGGAGACACACGGCGGGUGCUAACGUCCGUCGUGAAGAGGGAAACAACCCAGACCGCCAGCUAAGGUCCCAAAGUCAUGGUUAAGUGGGAAACGAUGUGGGAAGGCCCAGACAGCCAGGAUGUUGGCUUAGAAGCAGCCAUCAUUUAAAGAAAGCGUAAUAGCUCACUGGUCGAGUCGGCCUGCGCGGAAGAUGUAACGGGGCUAAACCAUGCACCGAAGCUGCGGCAGCGACACUAUGUGUUGUUGGGUAGGGGAGCGUUCUGUAAGCCUGUGAAGGUGUGCUGUGAGGCAUGCUGGAGGUAUCAGAAGUGCGAAUGCUGACAUAAGUAACGAUAAAGCGGGUGAAAAGCCCGCUCGCCGGAAGACCAAGGGUUCCUGUCCAACGUUAAUCGGGGCAGGGUGAGUCGACCCCUAAGGCGAGGCCGAAAGGCGUAGUCGAUGGGAAACAGGUUAAUAUUCCUGUACUUGGUGUUACUGCGAAGGGGGGACGGAGAAGGCUAUGUUGGCCGGGCGACGGUUGUCCCGGUUUAAGCGUGUAGGCUGGUUUUCCAGGCAAAUCCGGAAAAUCAAGGCUGAGGCGUGAUGACGAGGCACUACGGUGCUGAAGCAACAAAUGCCCUGCUUCCAGGAAAAGCCUCUAAGCAUCAGGUAACAUCAAAUCGUACCCCAAACCGACACAGGUGGUCAGGUAGAGAAUACCAAGGCGCUUGAGAGAACUCGGGUGAAGGAACUAGGCAAAAUGGUGCCGUAACUUCGGGAGAAGGCACGCUGAUAUGUAGGUGAAGUCCCUCGCGGAUGGAGCUGAAAUCAGUCGAAGAUACCAGCUGGCUGCAACUGUUUAUUAAAAACACAGCACUGUGCAAACACGAAAGUGGACGUAUACGGUGUGACGCCUGCCCGGUGCCGGAAGGUUAAUUGAUGGGGUCAGCGCAAGCGAAGCUCUUGAUCGAAGCCCCGGUAAACGGCGGCCGUAACUAUAACGGUCCUAAGGUAGCGAAAUUCCUUGUCGGGUAAGUUCCGACCUGCACGAAUGGCGUAAUGAUGGCCAGGCUGUCUCCACCCGAGACUCAGUGAAAUUGAACUCGCUGUGAAGAUGCAGUGUACCCGCGGCAAGACGGAAAGACCCCGUGAACCUUUACUAUAGCUUGACACUGAACAUUGAGCCUUGAUGUGUAGGAUAGGUGGGAGGCUUUGAAGUGUGGACGCCAGUCUGCAUGGAGCCGACCUUGAAAUACCACCCUUUAAUGUUUGAUGUUCUAACGUUGACCCGUGAUCCGGGUUGCGGACAGUGUCUGGUGGGUAGUUUGACUGGGGCGGUCUCCUCCUAAAGAGUAACGGAGGAGCACGAAGGUUGGCUAAUCCUGGUCGGACAUCAGGAGGUUAGUGCAAUGGCAUAAGCCAGCUUGACUGCGAGCGUGACGGCGCGAGCAGGUGCGAAAGCAGGUCAUAGUGAUCCGGUGGUUCUGAAUGGAAGGGCCAUCGCUCAACGGAUAAAAGGUACUCCGGGGAUAACAGGCUGAUACCGCCCAAGAGUUCAUAUCGACGGCGGUGUUUGGCACCUCGAUGUCGGCUCAUCACAUCCUGGGGCUGAAGUAGGUCCCAAGGGUAUGGCUGUUCGCCAUUUAAAGUGGUACGCGAGCUGGGUUUAGAACGUCGUGAGACAGUUCGGUCCCUAUCUGCCGUGGGCGCUGGAGAACUGAGGGGGGCUGCUCCUAGUACGAGAGGACCGGAGUGGACGCAUCACUGGUGUUCGGGUUGUCAUGCCAAUGGCACUGCCCGGUAGCUAAAUGCGGAAGAGAUAAGUGCUGAAAGCAUCUAAGCACGAAACUUGCCCCGAGAUGAGUUCUCCCUGACCCUUUAAGGGUCCUGAAGGAACGUUGAAGACGACGACGUUGAUAGGCCGGGUGUGUAAGCGCAGCGAUGCGUUGAGCUAACCGGUACUAAUGAACCGUGAGGCUUAACCUU